rnacentral:lncRNA from 1 species
GCCCGCCCGCGUCAGCUGACCUGGCUUCCGCGGGCCCUGCGCCCUCGCGCUCCCGGGCCCCGGCCGCCCCCACGCCCCACGCCGCGCCCGCCGGCCCGGCCCUCCCUCCCCAGCUGGCCCGGCCGCCGCGGCCUCUUCCGCCCGGCGCCCGCGCAUUCCUGCCAUUCCCCCGAGUCGGCCCGCGGGCUACGGCCGCCUGCGGAGCGCAGGAACCUUCACCUCCCGAGGACAGGCGCCUUCCCCUCGGGACCCGGCUCCCCUGCUGCCUGCGCCGCUCUGUCCCCCUGCCGCUGCCCAAGCCUCCAGCAGGGGCCACCGAGGGCUCCAGGAGCACCCCAGGCCCGUUCUUCUGGCCCACAGCGCCCCUCCUGUGACCCUCAGCGACCCUCCUGUCCUGCCCUCCGGCGGCGCGGCUGUCUGGAGACUCUGCACCGUCGCGGCCUCGCAGCCUCGCAGCCCCGCGCCGGGUGGGGAGGGGAGGGUGGCGUUCCUGAGUCCGCGGAGGAAAGGGUCGCAGCUGCAGUCGCGCCAGCCCUCGGGCCUACAUCCGCUCCGCCGCGACGCGGCUCACAAACUAGGGAGGGGAGAAGGGAAGAAAGACCCGAUUCGGGAACACGGCUUUGUCCCUGGAACUGUACCUCAUGUCCCCUCACUUAAUCCUCCCAAGACCUGUGGGGCGUGUCGUCAUUUUAGGGCUGGAGAUGAGGAAACCGAGGCUCGGAGAGAUGAAGCGUUGUACGGCCACCGAGCGGCUGCUUUGCAACGAAGCCAAAGCCAACGUUUUGUUCUUAGCGGCGGUCGUUUGAGCCACGCCUCACCGCAACGAGUCUGCCAUCAGCCAAGAGGUCACAUCUUUUCUGGAACUCGCUCCCCCCUCACAUCAUGGGAGCAGUCAGUCUACUCUUCCAGUAGAAACUGUUUUGCCACUUUUGGGGGGAAUCUUGAGCUACCAGCUCAUCGCUCAGGUCUUAGAUGACACUUUCCUUGACCCCACCGGGUGCUCCAGCGCCUCUGCUUCCGGUUUUCAUAGCCCUUAUAAUAUCACCUAUUGCAAUUGCCCAUUUCCUUGUCUGUCUCCCUCUGCAGAUGGAGUGAAGGUACCUGAGCGCAGGAACCAUGGUCUUCAUUGCUGCCUCAGCAUUAGCGGAAGUGCCACGGGCCGGCUCCCAGGGGGCCAGAGUUUCCCAGGAACACCAUUGAGUACCACUGAACUAGAGUCUGCAAGUUAAAAGAGAACUUACUUGAAGGUCGAUGUUUUCUCUUGCUGAUUCCAUCUCGCUGCCCUCAAGUCCCUUCACACGCACCGGGUGCCGGGAACAGACUGCGUGGGCUCCUCCAGGCUCCGCCGUCUGAGUCUCUGCUGCUUUCUUCGGGUGGGAGAGAGCACACAGCUGGCGGGACAGACCUGCCAUUCAUCCCUCUGAUGUGGGAUGCCCGUCUUGGCUGCAGCCUCUGGGGGAGGUGUGCACCUGCACACACGUGUGAGUGUAUGUGUGUGCACAUGUGUGUGCUCCAGGAGGUGGCACAUGGCACACUGAUAGGUGACCUUUUGAGUUGGUAGUGACAGCAUCAUUUUCACCAGUGGCUCCAGUGACCUUCCAGUCCCAGCGGAGCCAUCUGAGGUCACCCAGCCUGCUUUGAGCUAGUAGCUUUAUGACUGGCAAAGAAAUCCUGCAUGUUUAUCAAGCAAAUUGAAAAACAGCCUGAGGACAACGCUAUCUGACUUCACCGCUGGGUCCAGUCCCCAGUCGCCACGGGUGGAGUGACCUCCAGCACAGUCUCAAUACUGAGGCAGAGGGAUUUCCGUUGUUCUUUGCUUUGUUCCCUAUAUCCCUAAAAGUUUUUAAAAAAAUUGUAGUUUACCUAAUAGGCUCCAAAGCAUAGGCUUUGUUCUGCAAAGUGAGUGAACAAUACGUUUUUACUGACGGAUUGUUUGAUUCCUUCAACUCCUCCCUUGAUUAGCCAUAGAGGGAGCAGGGAGUAGUUGUACCUUCGAAGCUUGUUUAUGCAAAC